UGAGGAAUAUUGGUCAAUGGCCGGAAGGCUGAACCAGCCAAGUAGCGUGAAGGAUGAAGGUUCUAUGGAUUGUAAACUUCUUUUAUACGGGAAUAAAACCUCCCACGUGUGGGAGCUUGUAUGUACCGUAUGAAUAAGCAUCGGCUAACUCCGUGCCAGCAGCCGCGGUAAUACGGAGGAUGCGAGCGUUAUCCGGAUUUAUUGGGUUUAAAGGGAGCGUAGACGGGAGAUUAAGUCAGCUGUGAAAGUUUGAGGCCCAACCUUAAAAUUGCAGUUGAUACUGGUUUCCUUGAGUGCGGUUGAGGUGUAUGGAAUUCGUGGUGUAGCGGUGAAAUGCUUAGAUAUCACGAAGAACUCCGAUUGCGAAGGCAGUACACUAAGCCGUAACUGACGUUGAGGCUCGAAAGUGUGGGUAUCAAACAGG
rnacentral:rRNA from 2 species